rnacentral:rRNA from 1 species
ACAUGGUAUUAACACAUAUGCAUUUCUUUCAUCUGAAGGAUUUUACGACCCUAAGGCCUUCAUCAUCCACCCGGCGUCCCUGCUUCAGGGUUGCCCCCAUUGCGCAAUAUUCCUCACUGCUGCCUCCCGUAGG